GUGCUUGCUUUAGCAGCACAUAUACUAAAAUUGGAACAAUGCAGAGAAGAUUAGCAUGGCCCCUGUGCAAGGAUGACACACAAAUUCGUGAAACGUUCCAUAUUGUU
rnacentral:snRNA from 1 species